UACGUAGGGUGCGAGCGUUAAUCGGAAUUACUGGGCGUAAAGCGUGCGCAGGCGGUUAUGUAAGACAGUUGUGAAAUCCCCCGGGCUCAACCUGGGAACUGCAUCUGUGACUGCAUAGCUAGAGUACGGUAGAGGGGGAUGGAAUUCCGCGUGUAGCAGUGAAAUGCGUAGAUAUGCGGAGGAACACCGAUGGCGAAGGCAAUCCCCUGGACCUGUACUGACGCUCAUGCACGAAAGCGUGGGGAGCAAACAGG
rnacentral:rRNA from 1 species